ACUUGUUCCUUGAUUCAGCGGCGGACGGGUGAGAAAUGGCUAGGAAUCUGCCUGGUAGUGGGGGACAACGUUUCCAAAGGAACGCUAAUACCGCAUACGUCCUACGGGAGAAAGCAGGGGACCUUCGGGCCUUGCGCUAUCAGAUGAGCCUAGGUCGGAUUAGCUAGUUGGUGGGGUAAUGGCUCACCAAGGCGACGAUCCGUAACUGGUCUGAGAGGAUGAUCAGUCACACUGGAACUGAGACACGGUCCAGACUCCUACGGGAGGCAGCAGUGGGGAAUAUUGGACAAUGGGCGAAAGCCUGAUCCAGCCAUGCCGCGUGUGUGAAGAAGGUCUUCGGAUUGUAAAGCACUUUAAGUUGGGAGGAAGGGCAGUAAGCUAAUACCUUGCUGUUUUGACGUUACCGACAGAAUAAGCACCGGCUAACUCUGUGCCAGCAGCCGCGGUAAUACAGAGGGUGCAAGCGUUAAUCGGAAUUACUGGGCGUAAAGCGCGCGUAGGUGGUUUGUUAAGUUGGAUGUGAAAGCCCCGGGCUCAACCUGGGAACUGCAUCCAAAACUGGCAAGCUAGAGUACGGUAGAGGGUGGUGGAAUUUCCUGUGUAG
rnacentral:rRNA from 1 species